UUAACUCACACCGAACCGACCAGUUGAACGAGUGAACCGGCUCUCAAACCGGUCCAGGUUUAUAAUUGAACAAAAUAAGGAAGUGAUCUGAUGUUGAAUCAGUGUGAUUGGUUGACUUGGCUAGUUCAAUUAUUCAAUUAACUCUUUUUUUCCUUUUUUAGUGUUGGUAUAGAGAAUUGAACUCAAAAUCUCAUAAAAAAUCUUUAAAAUUAAAAUCAAUUGAGCUAGUUUGGUAGUUAUGUGUUUUCG
rnacentral:misc_RNA from 1 species